CCAGUACACCCAAGCAAAGAGACCUUUAGUUUGAAACCCCGAAACCAGGUGAGCUACCCCGAGACAGCCUAUUAAGGGCCAACCCGUCUCUGUGGCAAAAGAGUGGGAAGAGCUCCGGGUAGAAGUGACAGACCUACCGAACCUGGUGAUAGCUGGUUGCCUAAGAAAUGAAUAGAAGUUCAGCCUCGUGCACCUCAAAUCACACAAACAAAACAAGACUAAGAGAAACACAUGAGAGUUAGUUAAAGGGGGUACAGCCCCUUUAACAAAGGACACAACCUUUCCAGGAGGAUAAAGAUCAUAAUACAUAAAACAUACUGUUCUAGUGG
rnacentral:rRNA from 1 species